rnacentral:rRNA from 1 species
UACGGAGGGUGCAAGCGUUAUCCGGAUUCACUGGGUUUAAAGGGUGCGUAGGUGGGUUGGUAAGUCCGUGGUGAAAUCCCUCGGCUUAACCGAGGAACUGCCGUCCAAACUGCUUCGCUUGAGACCGGGAGAGGUGAGUGGAAUUCCCAGUGUAGCGGUGAAAUGCGUAGAUAUCAGGAGGAACACCUGUGGCGAAAGCGGCUCACUGGACCACAACUGACGCUGAUGCACGAAAGCUAGGGGAGCAAACAGG